rnacentral:rRNA from 1 species
GACGAACGCUGGCGGCGUGCUUAACACAUGCAAGUCGAACGGAAAGGCCCUGCUUUUGUGGGGUGCUCGAGUGGCGAACGGGUGAGUAACACGUGAGUAACCUACCCUUGGCUUUGGGAUAACUUCAGGAAACUGGGGCUAAUACCGGAUAGGAGCUCCUGCUGCAUGGUGGGGGUUGGAAAGUUUCGGCGGUUGGGGAUGGACUCGCGGCUUAUCAGCUUGUUGGGGGGGUAGUGGCUUACCAAGCCUUUGACGGGUAGCCGGCCUGAGAGGGUGAGCGGAGACACUGGGACUGAGAGACGGCGCAGACUCCUACGGGAGGCAGCAGUGGGGAGUAUUGCACAAUGGGCGGAAGCCUGAGGCAGAAACGCCGCGUGCGGGAUGACGGGCUUCGGGUGGUAAACCGCUUUCGCCUAUGACGAAGCGUGAGUGAAGGUAAUGGGUAAAGAAGCACCGGCUAACUACGUG